UACGUAGGGCGCAAGCGUUGUCCGGAAUUAUUGGGCGUAAAGAGCUCGUAGGCGGUUUGUCGCGUCUGCUGUGAAAACUCGAGGCUCAACCUCGGGCUUGCAGUGGGUACGGGCAGACUAGAGUGCGGUAGGGGAGACUGGAAUUCCUGGUGUAGCGGUGGAAUGCGCAGAUAUCGAGAGGAACACCUGCGGCGAAGGCGGGUUGCUGGGCUGACACUGACGCUGAUGCGCGAAAGCCAGGGGAGCGAACGGG
rnacentral:rRNA from 1 species